UGAAAGCUGAUAUAAGUCUUUUGAGGUACAGCCUGGCACAAAAAGGAUGAGAUUUGUGGGCAGAAUUUUGGAAGAAUAUCUCCCGAGAGAACAUUCAGGACAGAUUGCACUGCUUUGGAGAGCUGGUGAUGAAAUCCGGCCAUUGAAUUACACUGCACUAUAAACUUCAUUUGUUCUUGGGUGCAUAGUGAUUUGCUAUAAUAAUGAUCAUCCAUUUGCCAGACAGCUGAGAUUUUUUAAAAGCUUGAUUGCUUUUGGCAUGGCAUUAUUAGUCCUGGAAGAAGGCAGCACAUUUGUAGCAAUUCUCAGCUUGAGCAAACUAGAAUAUUCACCUCCCACAAAUGCUGGCCAUUUAAGAUCUGUGUGUUAGACUUUGGCAUUUUUUCUAGCAAUUCUACAACAGCAUACACACUUUUAUUUUUCAUUAACACCAUUGUGAAUAUGCCCAUCUCUAAAAUUUCAAGGGGGUUCACUUAAGCUACUGAGUUUUAUGGACAGAAGGGCCAAGAAAAGUCCCCAAAGAAGAGUGCAUGCUGUCAAUUGCCAAUUAUUUUUUUUUCUAAUGAAAGCCAAACAAUUCCAGACAAACCCUUUUCUAAGAAAUGAACUACAUAUCUGGAUCCAAAUAAAUACUCAUCUGAUAAGAAUCUAAAAGCUCUACUGAAUUACAGUGGAUGAGAACAUGAUGAUGGUGAUUCUUUGAAGAUUACUGAGGAAAUCAACUCUCAUGUCUGAUUCUGAUACUUUUAUAGUCCAUCCAUGUUGAAAAUGUCUAUGGAAUGAUUCUGUUGUACCUUGAGAAAUGAAAUUCAUAGGCAUGGAUUCUCUCACACAGCAACUUUAUACACAAAGAUGAGAAUAGAAGAAAGGUCAUUUCCAAAGAAAGUGACAUUUAUUCUGUAUUCACUGAAAAGCCAAAAGAAUUUUCUCAUUCACCCAUACCGACAGAGCCCUACAUCUCCCCGAGAAGAGGUGAAAGAGACUGCUCCUAUCUGCUUCUGCAUCAAACUUCAGGCUCAAGACCUGUCCAGAAAAAAAAAUGUCUUCUUUCAGGGAUGAACUGCUGUCCUCAUCAGACGCCUUAUUUUGUUUAGAAUUCAAGCUCACUUGACAGGUUAUUGUGAAGAUUAAAUGAAUUAAUACAUGUGAAGCAACUGUAACAACUCUUGACAUGCGUGGGCUGGACUUCCAGAAGAAACGUUGUCAGAACUCUGCCCAACUGAAAACAAGCCUACUAAAAAUAAAUAAAUAAAUAAAAUUUUAAAAAA
rnacentral:lncRNA from 1 species